GUCAUUUUAAGUGAUGUGUUCUUUGUUCCUUCUUACAGUGUCAAUUUGUUGUCUGUCUAUAAACUGGCUAAAGAUAAUAAUAUAACUGUUUUGUUUAAUGAUAGUAAUUGUGUGCUUCAGGAUUCGAAAUCAGGGAGAAUCCUGGUGACUGGUAAACAGGACAAUGGCCUGUAUUUUGUUAGGAAGAAUGGUUACCUUCCUCAGUUUUGUUAGGUAAAAGCCCCUAUGAGUUAAUGUUUGGUUUUAAACCCUCUUUUGCUCAUCUUAGAGUGUUUGGUUGUUUGUGCUUUAGCACUAUAUUAAAUAAUUCAGAUAAACUAUCUUUUAAUGCUGAGAAAUGUGUCUUGAUUGGUUAUUCUAAUACAAAAAAGGUUAUAAACUGUGGAGUUUAGAUAACAAAAAGGAAUUUUAUUCUAGAGAUGUAAAAUUUUAUGAAAAUGUUUUUCCUUAUAAGUCAAAUAGGACAGUUAACCAAGGUGUUAGUUUAACUGAAAACUUAAAUCAUCUGAAUUUUUUUGAUAGUGUUGAGGUAUUAACAACUAAA